CAGCACCUCAAGUGGUCAGGAUGAUUAUUGGGCCUAAAGCAUCCGUAGCCUGUUUUGUAAGUUUCCGGUUAAAUCCAUUAGCUCAACUAAUGGGCUGCCGAAAAUACUGCAAAACUAGGGAGUGGGAGAGGUAGACGGUACUCGGUAGGAAGGGGUAAAAUCCUUUGAUCUAUUGAUGACCACCUGUGGCGAAGGCGGUCUACCAGAACACGUUCCACGGUGAGGGAUGAAAACUGGGGGAGCAAACCGGAUUAGAUACCCGAGUAGUCC
rnacentral:rRNA from 1 species